rnacentral:rRNA from 1 species
CCAAUAGCGUAUAUUAAAGUUGUUGCAGUUAAAAAGCUCGUAGUUGAAUUUCGGGAUCGAAUUGUCGGUCGUGCUUCGGUACGCACUGGCAUUAUCGGUUUCUACCUUCUGAAGAACCGCGAUGUCAUUAAUUUGGUGUCGUGGGGAAUCAGGACUGUUACUUUGAAAAAAUUAGAGUGUUUAAAGCAGGCUUACGCUUGAAUACAUUAGCAUGGAAUAAUGUAAUAGGACGUUUGAUUCUAUUUUGUUGGUUUCUAGGAUCGACGUAAUGAUUAAUAGGGAUAGUUGGGGGCAUUAGCAUUCAAUUGUCAGAGGUGAAAUUCUUGGAUUUAUUGAAGACUAACUACUGCGAAAGCAUUUGCCAAGGAUGUUUUCAUUAAUCAAGAACGAAAGUUAGGGGAUCGAAGACGAUCAGAUACCGUCGUAGUCUUAACCAUAAACUAUGCUGACUAGGGAUCGGAUGAUGUUAAUUUUAUAAUGACUCAUUCGGCGCCUUACG